rnacentral:rRNA from 1 species
UACGUAGGGAGCAAGCGUUGUCCGGAAUCAUUGGGCGUAAAGCGCGCGUAGGCGGGUUGGUAAGUCCGCUGUGAAAGCCCGGAGCUUAACUCCGGAGGGUCGGUGGAUACUGCCAGUCUUGAAGGUGCUAGGGGGAGCGUGGAAUUCCUGGUGUAGCGGUGAAAUGCGCAGAUAUCAGGAGGAACACCAGCGGCGAAGGCGGCGCUCUGGGCCGGUACUGACACUGAGGAGCGAAAGCGUGGGUAGCAAACAGG